GACGAACGCUGGCGGCGUGCCUAAUACAUGCAAGUAGAACGCUGAAGGAGGAGCUUGCUCUUCUGGAUGAGUUGCGAACGGGUGAGUAACGCGUAGGUAACCUGCCUGGUAGCGGGGGAUAACUAUUGGAAACGAUAGCUAAUACCGCAUAAUAGUAGAUGUUGCAUGACAUUUACUUAAAAGGUGCAAUUGCAUCACUACCAGAUGGACCUGCGUUGUAUUAGCUAGUUGGUGGGGUAACGGCUCACCAAGGCGACGAUACAUAGCCGACCUGAGAGGGUGAUCGGCCACACUGGGACUGAGACACGGCCCAGACUCCUACGGGAGGCAGCAGUAGGGAAUCUUCGGCAAUGGACGGAAGUCUGACCGAGCAACGCCGCGUGAGUGAAGAAGGUUUUCGGAUCGUAAAGCUCUGUUGUAAGAGAAGAACGAGUGUGAGAGUGGAAAGUU
rnacentral:rRNA from 1 species